ensembl:rRNA Gm24649 predicted gene, 24649
UCCAGCAGCCAUACAACCCCGAAUGCGCCUGACCUCAUCUGAUCUUGGAAACUAAGCAGGGUUGGAGAAUUAUUUGGCUAAUAAGGCUCCUCCUUGAAUACUACGUAGAUCAUAUAAGAAAGCCAGCUCAGGAC